rnacentral:misc_RNA from 1 species
AGCAGCCGCGGUAAUUCCAGCUCCAAUAGCGUAUAUUAAAGUUGCUGCAGUUAAAAAGCUCGUAGUUGAAUUUCGGGACUAAUAUGUCGGUCGUGCCUCGGUACGUACUGGCUUAUUGGUUUCUCCUUUCUGAAGAACCAUGAUGUCAUUUAUUUGGUGUCGUGGGGAAUCAGGACUGUUACUUUGAAAAAUUAGAGUGUUUAAAGCAGGCUUACGCUUGAAUACAUUAGCAUGGAAUAAUGAAAUAGGACGUUUGAUUCUAUUUUGUUGGUUUCUAGGAUCGACGUAAUGAUUAAUAGGGAUAGUUGGGGGCAUUAGUAUUCAAUUGUCAGAGGUGAAAUUCUUGGAUUUAUUGAAGACUAACUACUGCGAAAGCAUUUGCCAAGGAUGUUUUCAUUAAUCAAGAACGAAAGUUAGGGGAUCGAAGACGAUCAGAUACCGUCGUAGUCUUAACCAUAACUAUGCCGACUAGGGAUCGGAUGAUGUUAAUUUUUAAUGUACUCAUUCGGCGCCUUACGGG